GAAGCAAAUGGCCAAUUUUGGCUAAUAAUUUUAAUAAUCUGAAUUGGAGCUGAAUGGGUUCUGAAAGAAAGAGAGGUUUAGGGAGACUUAAAGUUGCUUAUAUGAGGAAAUUGCUGGUGAUUAUUAUGUUGUAUUGAGUUUGGUAAUUUACUGUUUAUUACUCAACUUUCACUCUAUCCUUGCCUUUAGUUCCAAUCAGUAAGCUCUUAAAAAGGAGAAAAGCUUUCCUUUUGUAUAAGUCCAGUCAUUAACUUGUCAAAGAUCAAAUUGCGUGACUGAUUGGAAGGAUUUGGAACUACUAAUGAUCAAGGUUCGAAGAAUUUAUAAAAUAAAAUUCGAUAAAUGUAUUCUACAGACGGAAUUCCAUUCUGUUGCUCUCUCCUAAAGAAGAUGCAGCUGCAGAAAGAAAUGAGUAUGUUAGAUUGUCCAAGAUUACUCAAGACGCUCUCCGACGGGGUACAAUUAGUUUGGCGGAAGGUGCGCGUUUGCGACGAGUCGGAAAUUCAAGAAAAGAUUCCGGACGAAACGGGAUUUGAUUUUAGGGAGAGCAUAAGACGUCUAUAAGGUACAGACAUUGGUGAUCCUCCACCAUAGGCUUCACUUUUCUGCUAUUUCGGAGUACUCCUCCUCGAUCCGGAGUCCACUUCUGGUACAGACAUCUUUUGCUAUGUAUAUUUUGUACAUUUGACUAUUUGGGUACGGCGGGGCCCUGUCUCGCCAUAUGUCUUGUUUUGGAUUCGUAGAGGCAUGUAGUCAUGUUUGUGGGGCGAGGGUCCUAUAUGUGUUUGUUUGACUUUGAUAUUUGGUCUUAAAGCGGUCCGUUUGUUAUGAUGGCCCUAAAUGACCCUUAUGCUUAUAUUUGCACUUAUGACCGGCGAUGUCUAUUCCGCCGCUCCUUUCAGAUUCGAUAUGAUAUUUUGAUAUGUGCGACCGCUUAAGACAUAUUUUGAUAUAAAUUAUGUUGAUAUGACUUUUAUGAA